rnacentral:rRNA from 1 species
UACGUAGGUGACAAGCGUUGUCCGGAUUUACUGGGCGUAAAGAGCGCGCAGGCGGUCGAUCAAGUCGAGUGUGAAAGCCCCCGGCUCAACUGGGGAGGGUCACGCGAUACUGAUCGACUCGAAGGCAGGAGAGGGUAGUGGAAUUCCCGGUGUAGUGGUGAAAUGCGUAGAUAUCGGGAGGAACACCAGUGGCGAAGGCGACUACCUGGCCUGUUCUUGACGCUGAGGCGCGAAAGCUAGGGGGGCAAACGGGG